rnacentral:lncRNA from 1 species
ACUGCUACAAGUCCACCCCCACCUCUGCUUGUAGAAAUAAAAAGUGCAGAUUUAUGAGAGGGGAUGGGUCUACCUGGAGUGACUUGAGGAAUACCCAGAAGACCCCGUCCACCUCCUCCUGCUUAGAAUAUGCCUUUUGCUAGCCUGCUGUGAUGCCUGGAAUUUCAUCCUUCACCCAUUGCUGGGCCCACCCACAUAGUUUAAAGCCAAGAUCAGGACAGAGAUGGAGGGAGCUGUCCCCUGGCCACCCUGAUACCUGCUGUUGGAAAUCAACAAACAAACACAAACCCACUUUGCGUUCUGUCUAUGGUUUCUUAGACACGCGUGGAUUCUCACAGCCACCACCACAGACAGUACAAGCAACAGUUCCAAUACUCCAGAGAACGCCCUCAUCUCUCCUCACCCCUGCCUUCUGGCAAGCAAUGAGCUGUUCUCUGUUCCUGUAUUUUUGCCUUUUCUAGAAUGCCAU